rnacentral:rRNA from 1 species
GACGUAGGUGGCGAACGUUAUCCGGAAUUAUUGGGCGUAAAGAGCUCGUAGGCGGUUCGGCAAGUCGAAUGUGAAAUCUCCACGCUCAACGUGGAGGGGUCAUUCGAUACUGCCGUGACUUGAGUACGGUAGGGGAGUGUGGAAUUCCCGGUGUAGCGGUGAAAUGCGCAGAGAUCGGGAGGAACACCCGUAGCGAAGGCGGCACUCUGGGCCGAUACUGACGCUGAGGAGCGAAAGCGUGGGGAGCGAACAGG